GAUGAACGCUGGCGGCGUGCCUAAUACAUGCAAGUCGAGCGAACAGACGAGGAGCUUGCUCCUCUGACGUUAGCGGCGGACGGGUGAGUAACACGUGGAUAACCUACCUAUAAGACUGGGAUAACUUCGGGAAACCGGAGCUAAUACCGGAUAAUAUAUUGAACCGCAUGGUUCAAUAGUGAAAGACGGUUUUGCUGUCACUUAUAGAUGGAUCCGCGCCGCAUUAGCUAGUUGGUAAGGUAACGGCUUACCAAGGCAACGAUGCGUAGCCGACCUGAGAGGGGGAACGGCCACUCUGGAACUGAGACACGGUCCAGACUCCUACGGGAGGCAGCAGUAGGGACGCUUCCGAGAUGGGCGAAAGCUUGACGGAGCAACGCCGCGUGAAUGAUGAAGGUCUUCGGAUCGUAAAACUCUGUUAUUAGGGAAGAACAAAUGUGUAAGUAACUAUGCACGUCUUGACGGUACCUAAACAGAAAGCCACGGCUAACUACGUG
rnacentral:rRNA from 1 species